AUUGAACGCUGGCGGCAGGCCUAACACAUGCAAGUCGAGCGGAGCGGCGGACGGGUGAGUAAUGCCUAGGAAUCUGCCUGGUAGUGGGGGAUAACGUCCGGAAACGGGCGCUAAUACCGCAUACUAUCAGAUGAGCCUAGGUCGGAUUAGCUAGUUGGUGGGGUAAAGGCCUACCAAGGCGACGAUCCGUAACUGGUCUGAGAGGAGGAUCAGUCACACUGGAACUGAGACACGGUCCAGACUCGACCCAAACUACCCCAUAUGCAAUAUUGGACAGUGAGCGAAAGCCUGAUCCAGCCAUGCCGCGUGUGUGAAGAACUUCUUCGGAUUUUAAAGCACUUUAAGUUGGGAGGCGUUACCAACAGAAUAAGCACCGGCUAACUUCGUGCCAGCAGCCGCGGUAAUUC
rnacentral:rRNA from 1 species